AUGUCGUCCGCUGAGGGGAGGAAGACGGCAUGCGUCACCGGAGGGAGCGGCUACAUCGCGUCAGCUCUCAUCAAGCUGCUCCUCCAGAAAGGCUACGCCGUCAAGACGACCGUUAGAGACCCCGAUGACAUGGAGAGGAAUUCCCACCUCAAGGACUUGCAAGCACUUGGCCCCUUGGACAUCACCCGUGCCCGGCUGGACGAAGAAGGCAGCUUCGACGACGCAGUUUCCGGCUGCGACUAUGCCUUCCUCGUCGCCGCUCCGAUGAACAUCGGCUCAGCAGAUCCUGAGAGAGAUAUGAUCGAGCCGGCCGUCCAAGGAACACUCAACGUGAUGAGGUCGUGCGUGAGAGUGGGGACGGUGAAGCGGGUGAUCCUGACGUCAUCGGACGCCGGCGUGUCGAGGAGGCCGCUGCAGGGCGGCGGCCACCUGCUAGACGAGGGCUCCUGGUCCGACGUCGAGUACCUCAGAGCCAACAAGCCACCAACUUGGGAAUACGCGGUGUCCAAGGUGCUUCUGGAGAAGGCGGCGAGCAAAUUCGCGGAGGAGAAUGGCAUCAGCCUCGUCACCGUGUUGCCCGUGUUCACGCUGGGUGCCGCUCCUGUCUCCAAGGCCAGGACCAGCGUCCCCGUCACCCUCUCCCUGUUGUCUGGUGACGAGACGCAGCUGAACAUCAUGAUAGGCCUGCAGUCAGUCACCGACUCGGUGUCGAUAUGCCACGUGGAUGACCUUUGUCGGGCCCAAGUGUUUGUAGCCGAGGCCGAGUCCUCGGUGGGCAGGUACAUCUGCUGCAGCCACAACACCACCGUCGUGCAGCUUGCCCGUCUCCUAGCUGAGAAGUACCCACGAUACAAUGUGAAACCUGAACGCUUUGUUGGGUCCCAAGAGAAGCCAAGAGUGUGUUUAUCGUCUCAGAAGCUCAUCACGGAAGGGUUCAAGUUCAAGCACGAUGAUUUAAGUGAGAUCUUCGACGACCUUGUUGAAUACGGCAGGACCACGGGGAUCCUUCACUACUGA
rnacentral:rRNA from 1 species